rnacentral:rRNA from 1 species
UGGGGAAUAUUGCACAAUGGGCGCAAGCCUGAUGCAGCCAUGCCGCGUGUGUGAAGAAGGCCUUCGGGUUGUAAAGCACUUUCAGCGGGGAGGAAGGCGUUAAGGUUAAUAACCUUGGCGAUUGACGUUACCCGCAGAAGAAGCACCGGCUAACUCCGUGCCAGCAGCCGCGGUAAUACGGAGGGUGCAAGCGUUAAUCGGAAUUACUGGGCGUAAAGCGCACGCAGGCGGUCUGUCAAGUCGGAUGUGAAAUCCCCGGGCUCAACCUGGGAACUGCAUUCGAAAAUGGCAGGAUAGAGUCUUGUAGAGGGGGGUAGAAUUCCAGGUGUAGCGGUGAAAUGCGUAGAGAUCUGGAGGAAUACCGGUGGCGAAGGCGGCCCCCUGGACAAAGACUGACGCUCAGGUGCGAAAGCGUGGGGAGCAAACAGG